AGAGUUUGAUCAUGGCUCAGAUUGAACGCUGGCGGCAGGCUUAACACAUGCAAGUCGAGCGGAAACGGAAGUAGCUUGCUACUAGGCGUCGAGCGGCGGACGGGUGAGUAAUGCUUAGGAAUCUACCGAGUAGUGGGGGAUAGCCAUUGGAAACGAUGAUUAAUACCGCAUAUAUCCUACGGGGGAAGGCAGGGGACCUUCGGGCCUUGCGCUAUUUGAUGAGCCUGAGUGAGAUUAGCUAGUUGGUGGGGUAAAGGCCUACCAAGGCGACGAUCUCUAGCUGGUCUGAGAGGAUGAUCAGCCACACUGGGACUGAGACACGGCCCAGACUCUUACGGGAGGCAGCAGUGGGGAAUAUUGCACAAUGGGCGAAAGCCUGAUGCAGCCAUGCCGCGUGUGUGAAGAAGGCCUUCGGGUUGUAAAGCACUUUCAGCGAGGAGGAAAGGUCAGUAGCUAAUAAUUGCUGGCUGUGACGUUACUCGCAGAAGAAGCACCGGCUAAUUUAGUGCCAGCAGCCGCGGUAAU
rnacentral:rRNA from 1 species